CGUUUUGCAGUCGGUUCGACAGGAGAUCUGCACCACUAACGCGAUGAGAGUGAGAACCAGUCCCAAACACACUCCACACACAAAAUACAGUGCCGCCCGUUCCGGGUGAUCUGCAGAAACAGUUCAGAAGGAGAAAAAAAGUCAUAUAGGUCUGGAACAACAUGACCAUUCAGUUUGAAGUCACUGGUCACUACACUUACUUCAGCUCAGACCUGUUUGAAUCCUGUGUGUCCAGCCUGUUUCACUGAACAAUGCCGCCCAGUGUGUGUUCAGGGCCACUGGCCCCACGGUUACUAGGAGCGGGACAGGAGCUGACACAAAGCAGUUGUCUGAGACCACUAGAGUGGCAGGAAGUCCUGCCAACAUCUGGUCCUUCUAUUAGAGACCCUCGAGAGCCAGAGCAGGCGACAGCAGGCAGACUCUAAAGGAGGACGCUGUGCCCUGGAAGCUGGAAUGUGACACGGAGAAGGCAGGAGGCAGAAAUAUUCACCACAUUGACGGACACAGACGAAUCAGAAUGAAACUCUGGAGAGCAGUGAGUAUGAAAGAAAGGGAAAGAGGGAGG